rnacentral:rRNA from 1 species
UACAGAGGAUGCAAGCGUUAUCCGGAAUUAUUGGGCGUAAAGAGUCUGUAGGUGGUCGAAGUGAAGUCCCCUGUUAAAUCUCAGGGCUCAACCCUGUGCAGGCAGUGGAAACUCAUCGGCUUGAGUACGGUAGGGGCAGAGGGAAUUCCCGGUGUAGCGGUGAAAUGCGUAGAGAUCGGGAAGAACACCAAUGGCGAAAGCACUCUGCUGGGCCGAUUACUGACACUGAGAGACGAAAGCUAGGGGAGCGAAUGGG